rnacentral:rRNA from 1 species
GAGUUUGAUCGUGGCUCAGAACGAACGCUGGCGGCAUGCCUAACACAUGCAAGUCGAACGAACUCUUCGGAGUUAGUGGCGCACGGGUGCGUAACGCGUGGGAAUCUGCCCUUGGGUACGGAAUAACUCAGAGAAAUUUGUGCUAAUACCGUAUAAUGACUUCGGUCCAAAGAUUUAUCGCCCAAGGAUGAGCCCGCGUAAGAUUAGCUAGUUGGUGGGGUAAAGGCCUACCAAGGCUACGAUCUUUAGCUGGUCUGAGAGGAUGAUCAGCCACACUGGGACUGAGACACGGCCCAGACUCCUACGGGAGGCAGCAGUGGGGAAUAUUGGACAAUGGGCGAAAGCCUGAUCCAGCAAUGCCGCGUGAGUGAUGAAGGCCUUAGGGUUGUAAAGCUCUUUUACCCGGGAUGAUAAAUGACAGUACCGGAGAAUAAGCUCCGGCUAACUCGUGCCAGCCGCCGCCGUAA